UACGUAGGGUGCGAGCGUUGUCCGGAAUUAUUGGGCGUAAAGGGCUCGUAGGCGGCUUGUCGCGUCGGGAGUGAAAACACCGGGCUUAACUCGGUGCUUGCUUUCGAUACGGGCAGACUAGAGGUAUGCAGGGGAGAACGGAAUUCCUGGUGUAGCGGUGAAAUGCGCAGAUAUCAGGAGGAACACCGGUGGCGAAGGCGGGUCUCUGGGCCGAUACUGACGCUGAGGAGCGAAAGCGUGGGGAGCGAACAGG
rnacentral:rRNA from 1 species